GGCGAACGCUGGCGGCGUGCCUAAUACAUGCAAGUCGAGCGGACCAAAGGGAGCUUGCUCCUGGAGGUUAGCGGCGAACGGGUGAGUAACACGUGGGCAACCUGCCUGUAAGACUGGGAUAACAUCGAGAAAUCGGUGCUAAUACCGGAUAAUAAAAAGAACUGCAUGGUUCUUUUUUGAAAGAUGGUUUCGGCUAUCACUUACAGAUGGGCCCGCGGCGCAUUAGCUAGUUGGUGAGGUAACGGCUCACCAAGGCGACGAUGCGUAGCCGACCUGAGAGGGUGAUCGGCCACACUGGGACUGAGACACGGCCCAGACUCCUACGGGAGGCAGCAGUAGGGAAUCUUCCGCAAUGGACGAAAGUCUGACGGAGCAACGCCGCGUGAGUGAUGAAGGUUUUCGGAUCGUAAAACUCUGUUGUUAGGGAAGAACAAGUGCCGUUCGAAAGGGCGGCACCUUGACGGUACCUAACGAGAAAGCCACGGCUAACUAUGUGCCAGCAGCCG
rnacentral:rRNA from 1 species